rnacentral:rRNA from 1 species
UCCGUAGGGUAACCUGCGGAAGGAUCAUUACCGAGUUGAUUCGGGCUCCGGCCCGAUCCUCCCACCCUUUGUGUACCUACCUCUGUUGCUUUGGCGGGCCGCGGUCCUCCGCGGCCGCCCCCCUCCCCGGGGGGUGGCCAGCGCCCGCCAGAGGACCAUCAAACUCCAGUCAGUAAACGAUGCAGUCUGAAAAACAUUUAAUAAACUAAAACUUUCAACAACGGAUCUCUUGGUUCUGGCAUCGAUGAAGAACGCAGCGAAAUGCGAUAAGUAAUGUGAAUUGCAGAAUUCAGUGAAUCAUCGAAUCUUUGAACGCACAUUGCGCCCUUUGGUAUUCCGAAGGGCAUGCCUGUUCGAGCGUCAUUACAACCCUCAAGCUCUGCUUGGUAUUGGGCACCGUCCUUUGCGGGCGCGCCUCAAAGACCUCGGCGGUGGCGUCUUGCCUCAAGCGUAGUAGAACAUACAUCUCGCUUCGGAGCGCAGGGCGUCGCCCGCCGGACGAACCUUCUGAACUUUUCUCAAGGUUGACCUCGGAUCAGGUAGGGAUACCCGCUGAACUUAAGCAUAUCAAUAGGCGGAGGA